UACGGAGGGUGCAAACGUUGCUCGGAAUCAUUGGGCGUAAAGCGCACGUAGGCGGCCUGUUAAGUCGGGUGUGAAAGCCCGGGGCUUAACCCCGGAAUUGCACCUAAAACUACAUGGCUAGAGCAUUGGAGAGGGUAGCGGAAUUCCCAGUGUAGCGGUGAAAUGCGCAGAUAUUGGGGAGGAACACCAGUGGGCGAAGGCGACUACCUGG
rnacentral:rRNA from 1 species